rnacentral:rRNA from 1 species
CCUACGGGAGGCAGCAGUGGGGAAUAUUGGACAAUGGGCGAAAGCCUGAUCCAGCAAUGCCGCGUGAGUGAUGAAGGCCUUAGGGUUGUAAAGCUCUUUUACCCGGGAUGAUAAUGACAGUACCGGGAGAAUAAGCUCCGGCUAACUCCGUGCCAGCAGCCGCGGUAAUACGGAGGGAGCUAGCGUUGUUCGGAAUUACUGGGCGUAAAGCGUACGUAGGCGACUAUUCAAGUCAGAGGUGAAAGCCCGGGGCUCAACCCCGGAACUGCCUUUGAAACUAGGUAGCUAGAGUCUUGGAGAGGUUAGUGGAAUUCCGAGUGUAGAGGUGAAAUUCGUAGAUAUUCGGAAGAACACCAGUGGCGAAGGCGACUAACUGGACAAGUACUGACGCUGAGGUACGAAAGCGUGGGGAGCAAACAGGAUUAGAUACCCUGGUAGUCCACGCCGUAAACGAUGAUAACUAGCUGUCCGGGCACUUGGUGCUUGGGUGGCGCAGCUAACGCAUUAAGUUAUCCGCCUGGGGAGUACGGUCGCAGNUAAAACUCAAAGGAAUUGACGG